rnacentral:rRNA from 1 species
CCAAUAGCGUAUAUUAAAGUUGUUGCAGGUAAAAAGCUCGUAGUUGAAUUUCGGGAUCAGUACGUUGGUCGUGCCUUCGGUAUGUACUGGUGUCACUGAUUCCUCCCUUCUGAAGAACCGUCAUGCCAUUAAUUUGGUGUGGCGGGGAAUCAGGAAUGUUACUUUGAAAAAAUUAGAGUGUUUAAAGCAGGCUCGCGCUUGAAUACAUUAGCAUGGAAUAAUGAUAUAGGACGUCAAUCCUAUUUUGUUGGUUUCUAGGAUCGACGUAAUGAUUAAUAGGGAUAGUUGGGGGCAUUAGUAUUCAAUUGUCAGAGGUGAAAUUCUUGGAUUUAUUGAAGACUAACUACUGCGAAAGCAUUUGCCAAGGAUGUUUUCAUUAAUCAAGAACGAAAGUUGGGGGAUCGAAGACGAUCAGAUACCGUCGUAGUCUUAACCAUAAACUAUGCCGACUAGGGAUCGGAUGAUGUUAAUUUUUUAAUGACUCAUUCGGCGCCUUACG